CCAUCACCUCUCCCCCCAGCCCUGACCCCCAGGAUAAGUACUCAAAGAGCAGAAGGAAAGGACAUGGAGGAGGCAGAGACACGAGAGCCCUGGUAACCCCUAAAUGUGCCAUUUCUUUAACUUUCUGAAGUCUGGCUGCGCUGAAGUUCAGGGCCGUGUUAAAACAUCAACAUCUCCUUUCCCAUCCUAGCCCACCCCCACCUCCAGCUCCACAUAGUCAGGCAGGAUCACAGAAUGUCACCAGGAGUCACCCAGCCUCUUGUAGCCACCUCCUGGAAUCCCAGAAAAUCACUUACAUCUGCAUCUCAGGGUCAGGCCUGGGGAGAAUCAGCCUCCCCCAGGAGCUCUCAGAUCUCAGACUGCUUUUUGGUUGUUGACCUUGGAUAGGCAGGUUUCAGGAUCCCUCCCAGGGGUUCCAACUCCAGACUAAGAUCACUGACACUUUAGGGGCCCCAAUUAUGUUAAUUCCAAGGAGGGAGCAUUUUGCCAUCUUGUGGUUGGCAGAUAUAUUUACAAACUUACUGUCUCAGGCCAGCCCCAUCUCCCCAGGCGUGAUAUCCAGGCAUAAAAUGCCUAACGACCAAGUCUUACUUGUGAUGUCCAAGUGAUAUAACUAUGUCAGCAUGAAAUCUGAGCUCUUGUUCACAGCUGGGAGUUUCAGUGUGGCCUGGAGUCAGGUUCUCUGCAGCAACAGGAGUGUAGCCUGUGCUAAUCUGCACGGGGGCUUCCAGGUCCUCGGUGUUGCCACCUCAUGGCCCAUCCUGAGCCAUCACCUGCUGGAGGGAUUGAGAGGCUUUAAUGAGGGAAAUCGGCUCCAAAAAUACUUGCGAAGAUUGUAGAAUCCUCUUUGGAGUUGGAAAGAGCCACAAAACACAGGGUGCUUUAGGCCUUCUGACCAUUGACAGAGAGCCUGUUUUUCUUCCCAGGGAGAGUGCAUGAAAAGGGAGCUUCUGGAACUGAGAACCAAACUGUCCAAACAGGAGAGUCUCCUUCGGAGCACAGCUGAGCAUCUGAAGGCCGCCAACCAGCAGAAGGAGAGCAUGGAACAGUUUAUCUUCAGCCAGUUGAGCAGGACACACGAUGUUUUGAAGAAGGCAAGGACGAAUUUGGAG